rnacentral:lncRNA from 1 species
UGUAACGUCCCUUUCUAUUGGUGGAAAUUUUUCUAGAGAAUAGUAACUGCCAAUCACAGUUGGUGUUGGUUAGGUCUAUUUAGUAUGGACGAUCUCACAGCUGUCCACCUCAAGACGAGAAAAGCGUAGUGGACUCACUCAGCGUCUGUCGACUGUCAUUAGCAGUACUAAAUGUAGUCUGUUCAGAACUUUGUAUUAAUCUUGGCUUCCAUGCCAGCUUUAGGCUUUUUUUAGUAUUUGGCUCUGGAACCUUUUGUUCCAGCAGCAUUUUUAGUCUUUUGCCUAUGUAGUCGCUUUAAUUAAGAAGAGAGAGAGUAUCAAAUUGUCACCUCACAAUGGAGAUUUUUCUCCUAUAACCGCUACUAAAGCGGUGUAAGUACGGGGAUCAACGUACGAAUCCAUCAUUUCAUGGGUUCAUGAACGUGUGUCUGUAAGCCGCUGAGACGCCUCUGAAUCGAUGGCCGUCCUAGCUUGGGGUAUGCUGUCUCCUGUCCAUCUGGACGUGUAGAGCUCGAUCGCCGAGCCUAGAUUCAAUUUGAAGAAACAGCUAUGAGUGUUGCAUCAAAGACCACCAAGUCUUGUGAAUGGCGAUUUUGCGUUUGAUUGAGCUGAUAGACGAUGGCUGCAGUGUUGAGUCUUGAUGUUGUCCGUGAUGCUGAUCUUCAAUAGCGGGUCUGGUGAGCCAACAUACUGUAAGGUUGGUGCC